AAACUUGGCUUUUUUCCCCUCGUUUUCACCGAUUUCCCCUGAAUUUCGCCCAUUUCCGCCCCCCUCCCAACCCGGACGUGACGUCAUCAACCCCUCCGGGAAGUCUCUUUAUUUAUUUAUUUAUUUAUUUGGGGCCCCACUGGGGGGGGAAGGCACGGGGCGGAGUGUGGGGGGGCUGCCCCAUAGAAUCUGUGGGGCAGCCCCAUAGGGAGGUGUGGGGCAGCCCUAUAGGAUGGAGAUGUGGGGCAGCCCCAUAGAAUCUGUGGGGCAGCGCCUUAAGGCCAAGGUGUGGGGCAGCCCCAUAGGAAGGUGUGGGGCGGCCCCAUAGAAUCUGUGGGGCAGCCCUAUAGCGAUAAGGUGUGAGGCAGCCCCAUAGAAUGUGUGGGGUGGCCCCAUAGAAUGUGUGGGGCAGCCCUGUAGUGAGGAGGUGUGGGGCAGCCCCACAGGGCUCAGGUGUGGGGCAGCCCCAUAGAAUGUGUGGGGCACCCUAUAGUGGUGUGGGGCAGCCCCUGAAGGCACACUUGUGGGGCUGCCCCAUAGCGAGGAGGUGUGGGGCAGCCCCAUAGGAACAAGAUGUGGGGCAGCCCUAUGGGGUCGAGAUGUGGGGCAGCCCCAUAGAAUGUGUGGGGCAGCCCCUUAAGGCACACUUGGGGGGCGGCCCCAUAGGGCUCAGAUGUGGGGCACCCCAUAGGGGUGUGGGGCAGCCCUAUAGGAAGAUGUGGGGCAGCCCCAUAGGGAUGUGUGGGGCAGCCCUAUGGGGUCAAUGUGUGGGGCAGCCCCCCACCGCUAUGGGGCAGCCCCAUAGCGCUCAGUUGUGGGGCUGGGCGGUGAGCGGCUUCUGCUCCUCCCCGGGGCUUUUGGGGUCGCCGUGGGGCUCGCUAUGGGGCCGGGGGUCGCUGUGGGGCUGGGGGUCGCUAUGGGGCUCGCUAUGGGGCUCGCUAUGGGGCGCGCUAUGGGGCUGGGGCUCGCUGUGGGGGUAGACGACGAGGCAGAGCUUCUGGCCCAGGUAGGUCAGGGAGGCUGCGGGGAGAGCGGCCGUGAGCCAAAAACGCCCAAAUUCACCCCAAAAAUCGGCCCCCCCAAACCCCAAACCGCCCCGAAACGGUCCCGGAAAUCCUAAACAGACCCAAAAUCGCCCAAAUUUGGCCCGAAAUGGACACCAAAGAGACCAAAACGGCCCCAAAAUAGACCCCAGAAACCCCAAAUCCGCCCAAAUUGGGCCCAAAAUGACCCCAAAGACCCCAAAACGGCCCCGAAACGCCCCAAAAUGGACCCCAAAAGCCCCAAAUGGCCCCAAAUUGGUCCCCAAAGACCCCAAAUGGACCCAAAAUGGACCCCAAGGACCCCAAAAUUGACCUUAAAGACCCCAAAGCGGCCCCCAAUGACCCUAAAUGGACCCCAAAUGACCCCAAAACAGCCCCAGAUGACCCCAGAUGACCCCAAAUUGCCCCAAAUUGCCCCAAAAUGGUUCCUGAAGACCCCAAACUGGAUCCCCAAGACCCCAAAUUGACCCCUAAGACCCCAACUGACCCCAAAGUGACCCCAAAACGACCCUAAAUGACCAUAAAUGACCCCAAAGUGACCCUAAAUGACCCCAAAUGAUCCCAAAACGACCCCAAAUGAUCCCAAAUGACCCCAAACUGGCCCCUAAAGACCCAAAAUGGAUCCUGAAGACCCCAAAUAGACCCCUGAGACCCCAAAUGACCCCAAAAUGGACCCCAAAACGACCCUGGAUGACCCCAAAUGACCCCAAAGUGACCCCUAAAGACCCAAAAUGGAUCCCAAAGACCCCAAAUAGACCCCAAAAUGGCCCCUAAAUGACCCCAAAGUGACCCUAUAUGACCCCUAAUGACCCCAAAAUGGACUCCAAAGCCCCCAAAUGGACCCCAAAGACCCCAAAAUGACCCCAAAAUGGACCCUAAAUGACCCUAAAUGACCCCUAAAUGCCCCUAAAUGCCCCCAAAAUGGACUCCAAAGCCC
rnacentral:lncRNA from 1 species